rnacentral:lncRNA from 1 species
CUAUGUGUUGAAGUUAUUUAGCCACAACAUUGGACCACCUUCUUUAGAUUCAUUUUGGAGAGAUUGGUCAAAAAUGUGGAGCUUGACUUUUUUUUCUUGUACCUUCGUUUGAAGGUCAUCUAUCAGCACACAGCUCUCUUGUUCUUCCUUCCCAACUUGCUUGAACAUUUUCUCACUUGUCUCUCAUGUUUUGCUUGUGCAGGUUUAGUUCGCUUGGUGAAGGAAGUAAGCUUCAAAGAUACAGAGUGUGGCUUAAGCAUGUCUUUGUGGAAAUCGUGGCUGCUGUAGUCAAAAGUUGUGGAUCUUGUUUCCCAACACAGCUUUGUCAAAGAUAUUGAGAUCGUUUUGACUCUUGAUUAAUCAUCUCACCAUGUUUCUGUUCAUGAAGGCACUGAUGAAAAAUCAAAACAUUCUUCCGAUUUGUCUUUUCGAUUGCAAAUGUUCUCACAGCCUACACUAUGAUGCCGAAAUGAUGCAAGCAAUCUUUAAGCUUAAAGUCGUAUAAACAUAUCGACAGUGUUUCGUCAAUCAUUUGAGAUGG